AGUCCUAAAUUAAAAGAACAAAGCUGGAGGCAUCAUAUUACCUGAUUUCAAAUUAUAGUACAAAGCAAGAGUAACCAAAACCACACGGUACUGGCACAAAAUGAGACACAGAGACCAAU